GUUGUUUUCUCGAAAAUCAAUUAAAAAGUGUUGGAUUUUGUAUUGUUAAGACCUUAUCAGCUUACUGUACUCUUUUCCUGCUCUUUUUAAUGCACUUUUCGUUUAACAAGUCAACAUCAAUUUCUUUUGUUGUAAAAGAGUCAUUGGAAGGUGGCUUUCACUUCGGUGAAAGUGUUUAUAGCCUUUGGCUUCUGCAAUCGGAGAGAUUGAGGUCUGCAGCGUAGAUCCUUCGGGGUUAGAUACGUAGAUGCUAAGUUAUAGUUUUUUAUAGACAACUUGUUGACUAUGAUUAAUCAUGUAGCUUACUCGUUUGCGCUAUUUUACCUAC
rnacentral:rRNA from 1 species